CGUGUAGGCGGGGAUGCAAGUCUGAUGUGAAAGCCCCGGGCUUAACCUGGGAAGUGCAUUGGAAACUGCAUUUCUUGAGUACUGGAGAGGAAGGGGGAAUUCCCGGUGUAGAGGUGAAAUUCGUAGAGAUCGGGAGGAAUACCAGUGGCGUAGGCGCCUUUCUGGACGGUUACUGACGCUGAGACGCGAAAGCGUGGGGAGCAAACAGGAUUAGAUACCCUGGUAGUCCACGCUGUAAACGAUGAGCAUUAGGUGUAGCGGGUACUCAUUCCUGCUGUGCCGCAGCUAACGCGUUAAGUGCUCCGCCUGGGGAUUACGGUCGCAAGACUAAA
rnacentral:rRNA from 1 species